rfam:Oryza glumipatula chromosome 8, whole genome shotgun sequence.
UUGACUUUGUCAAAGUCAAACUGCUUUAAGUUUGACCAAGUUUGUAGAAAAAAGUAGUAACAUUUUCAACCCAAGAUAAACUUGUUAUGAAAAUAUAUUCAAUUAUUGAUUUGAUGAAACUAAUUUAGUAUUAUAAAUAUUACUAUAUUUUUCUAUAAACUUAGUCAAACUUGAAACAGUUUGACUUUGACCAAAGUCAAA